AUACGUAGGGGGCGAGCGUUGUCCGGAAUGAUUGGGCGUAAAGGGCGCGUAGGCGGCCCGGUAAGUCUGGAGUGAAAGUCCUGUUUUUAAGAUGGGAAUUGCUUUGGAUACUGUCGGGCUUGAGUGCAGGAGAGGUAAGUGGAAUUCCAAGUGUAGCGGUGAAAUGCGUAGAGAUUGGGAGGAACACCAGUGGCGAAGGCGACUUACUGGACUGUAACUGACGCUGAGGCGCGAAAGUGUGGGGAGCAAACAGGAUUAGAUACCCUGGUAGUCCACACUGUAAACGAUGAAUGCUAGGUGUAAGGGGUAUCGACCCCUUCUGUGCCGCAGUCAACACAAUAAGCAUUCCGCCUGGGGAGUACGGCCGCAAGGUUGAAACUCAAAUGAAUUGGCGGGG
rnacentral:rRNA from 1 species